CGUACUGAGACACGGACCAUACAUCUACGGAUGGCAGCAACUGGGAAUAUUCGGCAAUGGGCGAAAGCCUGACCGAGCGACACCGCGUGAGGGAUGAAGUACCUCUGGUAUGUAAACUUCUUUUAUCAAGCCGUCGAGGCUUGGAGAAUAAGCACCUACUAACUACGUGCCAGCAGUCGCGGUAAUACGUAGGGUGCAAGCGUUAUCCGGAUUCACUGGGCGUAAAGAGUCGUGUAGGCGGUUUACCGCAUCGUACUUGAAAGCCCGAGGCUUAACCUCGGCGUUGGGUACGAGAUGGGUAGACUUGAGGGUUGGAGAGGGAAGGGGAACUUAUGGUGGAGCAGUGAAAUGCGUUGAGAUCAUAAGGAACACCGAAGGCGAAGGCACCUUCCUGGCCAACCUCUGACGCUGAGACACGAAAGCCAGGGGAGAGAAGCAGAUUAGAGACCUGCGUAUUCCUGGCCCUAAACGCAUGCCUGCUAGAUGCUCUGCUAAAACGGAGUGUCGUAAGCUAACGCGUUAAGCAGGCCGCCUGGGGACUACGAGCGCAAGCUUAAAACUCAAAGGAAUUGACGG
rnacentral:rRNA from 1 species